GGGCCAUUCUGGGGGCUGAAAGCCUGACCACUCCUAUAGGAGUUCAUUUUCCCGAGCUGACUGAUGAAGGCAGAAGGAGGGAGGAGUUUAGAGAACACAGGCUUGGGGGAGGUGCGAUGCAGACAAUGGGACUGUUGAACCUCAGCAGAGACGGUUUGAGAUGGAAGCUGAGGAGCUAUUUUCAAGAGAUACUUUGCAAGACUCUAAGUCUGAGGCCUGGGAUUAACAAAAAAGACAUCAUAGGUGUGUUGGUAAAAAGUGCCCUGGAGAAGAGUACAGCAGACAAGAGGGUCUAGGGACUGUGAGGGACUUUGCAGGUUUAUUUAGGGUAGGCAGGGAAGGCCCCUCUGAUGAGUUGAGAUUUACCAGAGACCUGAAGAAAUGGUGAGAACUACCAAGGGAGGCUAGGCAGAGGGAACAGCCAGUGCAAAGGCCUUGAGGCAGCACAUGCUUGCUGUGUUUUAAGAACAGCAAGGAGGCCAGUGUGGCUGGAGUAUGGUGAGCACAGGUGUCACUGGCAGGAGACAAGGGCAGCAAAGCAGCCCAGGUUGGGUCAUGUAGGACCCUGUGGGCAUUCUAAGGAUUUGUCAUUUACUCUGAGUGAGAUGGGGAGCCGUGGGGAGGAUUUUGAGUAGGGAAGGGACAUGUCCUGACUUAGGUUCUUAUUUUUAUUUAUUUAUUUAUUUUUGAGAUGGAGUCUUGCUUUGUCGCCGAGGCUGGAGUGCAGUGGCACAAUCUCGGCUUGCUGAAACCUCCCACUCCCGAGCACAAGCGAUUUUCCUGCCUCA
rnacentral:lncRNA from 10 species